AGUAACGGCGAGUGAAGCGGCAACAGCUCAAAUUUGAAAUCUGGCCUCUUUGGGGUCCGAGUUGUAAUUUGUAGAGGAUGUUUCGGGUACCGCCUCGGUUUAAAUUUCUUGGAACAGAAUGUCAGAGAGGGUGAGAAUCCCGUCUUGGACCGGCGGUAGGGCCCAUGUGAAACUCCUUCGACGAGUCGAGUUGUUUGGG
rnacentral:rRNA from 1 species